CCUACGGGAGGCAGCAGUGAGGAAUAUUGGUCAAUGGACGAGAGUCUGAACCAGCCAAGUAGCGUGAAGGAUGACUGUCCUAUGGGUUGUAAACUUCUUUUAUCUGGGAAUAAAAUGUUCCACGUGUGGCUUUGUGUAUGUACCUUAUGAAUAAGGAUCGGCUAACUCCGUGCCAGCAGCCGCGGUAAUACGGAGGAUCCGAGCGUUAUCCGGAUUUAUUGGGUUUAAAGUGAGCGUAGGUGGGUUGUUAAGUCAGUUGUGAAAGUUUGCGGCUCAACCGUAACAUUGCAGUAGAAACUGGCAGUCUUGAGAACAGUAGAGGUAGGCGGAAUGCGUGGUGUAGCGGUGAAAUGCUUAGAUAUCGCGAAGAACUCCGAUUGCGAAGGCAGCUCACUGGACGGCAACUGACACUGAGGCUCGAAAGUGUGGGUAUCAAACAGGAUUAGAUACCCCUGUAGUC
rnacentral:rRNA from 1 species